rnacentral:tRNA from 1 species
GCCCGGGUGGCUCAGUUGCUUGAGUGUCUGACUUAAGCUCAGGUCAUGAUCUGGUCUGUGGGUUCAAGUCCCACGUUGGGCU